rnacentral:rRNA from 1 species
UAGGGUAUAUUGGUAAUGUGGGAAACCGCGAACCAGCAACGCCGCGUGUGCGAUGAAGGCCUUCGGGUUGUAAAGCACUUUUUGAGGGGAUGAGGUAGGACAGUACCUUCAGAAUAAGUCUCGGCUAACUACGUGCCAGCAGCCGCGGUAACACGUAGGAGACAAGCGUUAUCCGGAUUUACUGGGCGUAAAGCGCAUGCAGGCGGUUUGAUAAGUUGGAUGUGAAAGCUCCCGGCUUAACUGGGAGAGGUCGUUCAAUACUGUCGAACUAGAGGAUGGAAGAGGAAGGUGGAAUUCCGGGUGUAGUGGUGAAAUGCGUAGAUAUCCGGAGGAACACCAGUGGCGAAAGCGACCUUCUGGUCCAUAACUGACGCUCAUAUGCGAAAGCUAGGGUGGCAA